UACGUAGGGUGCGAGCGUUGUCCGGAAUUAUUGGGCGUAAAGAGCUUGUAGGCGGUUUGUCGCGUCUGCUGUGAAAAUCCGGGACUCAACCCCGGACCUGCAGUGGGUACGGGCAGACUAGAGUGUGGUAGGGGAGACUGGAAUUCCUGGUGUAGCGGUGAAAUGCGCAGAUAUCAGGAGGAACACCGAUGGCGAAGGCAGGUCUUUGGGCCACUACUGACGCUGAGAAGCGAAAGCAUGGGGAGCGAACAGG
rnacentral:rRNA from 1 species